AUGAACGCUGGCGGCGUGCCUAAUACAUGCAAGUCGAGCGAACAGACGAGGAGCUUGCUCCUCUGACGUUAGCGGCGGACGGGUGAGUAACACGUGGAUAACCUACCUAUAAGACCGGGAUAACUUCGGGAAACCGGAGCUAAUACCGGAUAAUAUAUUGAACCGCAUGGUUCAAUAGUGAAAGACGGUUUUGCUGUCACUUAUAGAUGGAUCCGCGCCGCAUUAGCUAGUUGGUAAGGUAACGGCUUACCAAGGCAACGAUGCGUAGCCGACCUGAGAGGGUGAUCGGCCACACUGGAACUGAGACACGGUCCAGACUCCUACGGGAGGCAGCAGUAGGGAAUCUUCCGCAAUGGGCGAAAGCCUGACGGAGCAACGCCGCGUGAGUGAUGAAGGUCUUCGGAUCGUAAAACUCUGUUAUUAGGGAAGAACAAAUGUGUAAGUAACUAUGCACGUCUUGACGGUACCUAAUCAGAAAGCCACGGCUAACUACGUG
rnacentral:rRNA from 1 species